rnacentral:rRNA from 1 species
AACGAACGCUGGCGGCAUGCCUAACACAUGCAAGUCGAACGAGACCUUCGGGUCUAGUGGCGCACGGGUGCGUAACGCGUGGGAACCUGCCCUUAGGUUCGGAAUAACUCCCCGAAAGGGGUGCUAAUACCGGAUAAUGUCUUCGGACCAAAGAUUUAUCGCCUUUGGAUGGGCCCGCGUUGGAUUAGCUAGUUGGUAGGGUAAAAGCCUACCAAGGCGACGAUCCAUAGCUGGUCUGAGAGGAUGAUCAGCCACACUGGGACUGAGACACGGCCCAGACUCCUACGGAGGGCAGCGGUGGGAAUAUUGGACAAUGGGCGAAAGCCUGAUCCAGCAAUGCCGCGUGAGUGAUGAAGGCCUUAGGGUUGUAAAGCUCUUUUACCCGGGAUGAUAAUGACAGUACCGGGAGAAUAAGCUCCGGCUAACUCCGUG